AUAUACAUAUAUAUAUAUAUAUAUGCAUCAGUUCUUGUCCAGUCAGUGAAGUUAAGCUAUGUUGAACUUAGUUAUGACUUAGAUGGGUGACUGCUUGGGAAACCUAGGUUCUGUAAGUA
rnacentral:rRNA from 1 species